GGGCUGUUAGCUCAGUUGGUAGAGCGCCUGCUUUGCACGCAGGAGGUCGCGAGUUCGACUCUCGCACAGUCCA
rnacentral:tRNA from 1 species